rnacentral:rRNA from 1 species
UACAGAGGGGGCAAGCGUUGUUCGGAAUUACUGGGCGUAAAGGGCGCGUAGGCGGCCUUCUAAGUCGAACGUGAAAUCCCUGGGCUCAACCCAGGAACUGCGUCCGAUACUGGAAGGCUUGAAUCCGGGAGAGGGAUGCGGAAUUCCAGGUGUAGCGGUGAAAUGCGUGGAUAUCUGGAGGAACACCGGUGGCGAAGGCGGCAUCCUGGACCGGCAUUGACGCUGAGGCGCGAAAGCUAGGGUAGCAAACGGG